rnacentral:lncRNA from 1 species
CCAGUGACUUCCAGAUUAUCAGGUAAAUCUGCUUUUUGUUCAACAUCAAUACGAGCAUCAGGGAAAUCCUCAUUAUUGCACAUGUCAGUAAGAUUCUGAAUGAGAUCAGGUGCUUUCACAGUAGUGUCCAUCUUACCUAAGUCAGGUUCUGUUUCUUCAGUAUCACUAUAUGUUUUAGAAGCCCCAACAUUAUCAGAUAAAUCUACGUUUUGUUCAACAUCAACACAAGCAUCUGGAAAAGGCAAAUUGCAUACUCCAGCAACACUCUGAAUGGGGUCAGGUGCAUUCACAUUAUGAUCCAUAUUAUGUAAGUCAGUUUCUGUUUCUUCAAUAUCUGUUUUAGGAGCUUCCACAUUAUCAGAUAAAUCCGCUUUUUCUAUAACAUCAAGGCAUGCUUUCAUAUUAUCAUCAGUUUUAUGAAGGUCUGCUACUGUUUCUUCAAUAUCACCAUAUGUUUCA